UACAGAGGUCUCAAGCGUUGUUCGGAUUCAUUGGGCGUAAAGGGUGCGCAGGCGGCGAGGCAAGUCGGACGUGAAAUCUCGGGGCUUAACCCCGAAACUGCGUUCGAUACUGCCUUGCUUGAGGACUGGAGAGGAGACUGGAAUUCCUGGUGUAGCAGUGAAAUGCGUAGAUAUCAGGAGGAACACCGGUGGCGAAGGCGGGUCUCUGGGCAACAACUGACGCUGAGGAGCGAAAGCGUGGGGAGCGAACAGG
rnacentral:rRNA from 1 species